rnacentral:rRNA from 1 species
CGAGCACGCGCGUGUGGCAUAUCAAUAAGCGGAGGAAAAGAAACUAACAAGGAUUCCCUUAGUAACGGCGAGUGAAGCGGGAAGAGCUCAAAUUUGAAAUCUUCAAGGUUCUACCUUGACGAAUUGUAGUUUAUAGAAGUGUUUUCUGUUAGUGGAGUGGCAAAAGUUCUUUGGAAUAGGACAUCAUAGAGGGUGAGAAUCCCGUAUUUGGUCAUUCCUCCUAGCGUUGUGAUACACUUUCAACGAGUCGGAUUGUUUGGGAAUGCAGUCCAAAAUGGGUGGUAAAUUUCAUCUAAAGCUAAAUAUUGGCGAGAGACCGAUAGCGAACAAGUACCGUGAGGGAAAGAUGAAAAGAACUUUGAAAAGAGAGUUAAACAGUACGUGAAAUUGUCAAAAGGGAAGCGUUUGACACCAGUGUUGUUUUUCCGAAAAUCAAUUACGAAUGUUUUAUUUUUGAGGAGUUAUGACUUCAUCGGCUUGCUUCUUUCUUUACUGAAACUUUCUUAAUGCACUUUUCGGUUAACAAGUCAACAUCAAUUUCUUUUGUUGUAAAAGGGUAUGAGGAAGGUGGCUUUCUUUUCGGAGAAAGUGUUUAUAGCCUUGUGCCUCUGCAAUCGGAGAGAUUGAGGUUUGCAGCGUAGAUCCUUCGGGGUUAGAUACGUUUGUGCUAAGUUAUAGCUUUUCAUAGACAACUUGUUGACUAUGUUUAGUCUUGUAGCUUACUCGCUGAUGCUAUUUUACCUACGCUUAGGAUGUUGAGCGCAUGUCUCUCUCU